GCUCAUUCAUUGCCCACAUACCUGAAUAGCUAUUCCGUUCGGCUCUCUUUUUCCCAUUUUCCAAAUUUUGCCCUCCUUCAUCUUCUCCUUCAUCUGCCAUCAAACUCUCUACACAAUUUCUGCCCUCAAACUCUCUUGCCAUAUUUCAGAUAUUCUCAUUCAUCUUCUCCCACAAAUUUGUAACUUUCUCUCCUUCUGUUCCCAUAUUUCAGGUAAUGGCGUUUUUUCCUUAUUUGAUUUUUUCUUCUUUUAACGUUUCUCCUCUGUACUUUUUGAUCAUGUUCUUUUUUUUUUAAUUGAUUGUUUGCUUAAUGAACAUUUCUAUUCCCUCUCCUCUCCGUCGAAUGCUGAUUCGUUGUUUAAGAAAAUCAAUUUUACCCCCCUCAAUUUCUCGCCUAAAAAAUGCUCAGUUUCAGCCUCACCGACAACCACUCCCUUCCUUCCUUCAACUUCGGUAGAGGGAAAAACAAGCAGGUAGCCAAUCAAGCAUAUGAAUAUUUGAGUGAUGUUGCGUCUUCCUUCCCACAAUCAACGCUUCCAUCUCCUCAUUCGCAAUCUCUCCUCUUUUGCCUCCCAAACUACCAUUUUCGUGACCUCUAAACAAUUCCUCAAAAACCGUCCCCAAAAACCAUUCUUUCUUCCCUCUAAACGAUCCCUCUAAACGCUUCCUUCCCUCUCUUUCUUCCAAACCCAUCCCCAAAAACCAUUCUUUCUCGCUCAAGACUAAUGAGUUUUCUUCUCUUCCUUCUCCCAGUGUUUCUUCCCCCUCUCCAAGAAUUUUUUAUUUUUUGCAAAUACAGGAAAAAGGUUGUCGCUUGAUUGUUUAUUCAGUUCUUUCUCUAUUUAUCCUAAUUUUGUUAUAUAAGGAGUUAUUUUCUAUUUUCUGGUAUUAUCUGAUUGACUGUGUCAUUGAUUUUAGUAUUUGGUUGGUUGUCUUAUUUUAUAAUGUUUGAUUUUGGAAUUUUAAUAAACUUUUGUUACCACUCGAUGAGGAGGAUAAUAAAAAUAUAUCUGUUUAAAAAUGUAUCAUUGUUUUGCAUUGAAUUCAAGAUGAUCUCUUUUUGUGCAAAGGUGAAAAGAAUAUCUUUGAUGAUGAUCUGAUGAGACCAGACUAGGCUGAGUCAUUGUUGAAUGAAUACGUUAAUUGAGCAUGGUGAUUAUAACUUUGUUGAAACAUUCACUCUUUGGAGGUGAAUGAAAUUGUUGUGUAAUGAACAAAGGCUAAUGAUGUCGUAAUAGAUGAUUGGACCCAAAUAUUUAAUAAUUUUAGAGCAUCUGUACCUCUUCCAAACAUCAUAGCAUUCAACCUUCUCAGGUUUUGAACUUCUAAUAAUUUGUCUAAUGAAACAAUAUAUGAACAAGAGAGGAAACUCUAGGCAAGCUAAAAAUUUCCUCUUCAACUAACUCUUUAGGGCUAUUAUUACAUCUAUCACUAAAUUCAAGAUCAAAUUCAAGCCUAUGAUAGGUUCAAGAUAACGUCUCAAGAACAACUACCUGUUGCAACAGAUGCUUAAUAACAUAUGGUUUAUGACAUAUAAACUAAUGAAAUCAUGUAACUUUUUGUUAAUAUAUGAAUAUUAUGUUUGGAUGUCAAAUAUAAUUCUCAAGUUAUUUAUUACUUAUAAUAUUUUAUUUUUUUAUUGUAGAAUAAUUAAAUUAUUUAUUUCACUAAUGAUAUUUUAGCAUAUUAAAUAUGUAUUUCAGUUUAAAAAUAAUAAAGUA
rnacentral:lncRNA from 1 species